rnacentral:rRNA from 1 species
GAUGAACGCUGGCGGCGUGCCUAAUACAUGCAAGUCGAGCGAACGGACGAGAAGCUUGCUUCUCUGAUGUUAGCGGCGGACGGGUGAGUAACACGUGGAUAACCUACCUAUAAGACUGGGAUAACUUCGGGAAACCGGAGCUAAUACCGGAUAAUAUUUUGAACCGCAUGGUUCAAAAGUGAAAGACGGUCUUGCUGUCACUUAUAGAUGGAUCCGCGCUGCAUUAGCUAGUUGGUAAGGUAACGGCUUACCAAGGCAACGAUGCAUAGCCGACCUGAGAGGGUGAUCGGCCACACAGGAACUGAGACACGGUCCAGACUCCUACGGGAGGCAGCAGUAGGGAAUCUUCCGCAAUGGGCGAAAGCCUGACGGAGCAACGCCGCGUGAGUGAUGAAGGUCUUCGGAUCGUAAAACUCUGUUAUUAGGGAAGAACAUAUGUGUAAGUAACUGUGCACAUCUUGACGGUACCGAAGCAGAAAGCCACGGCUAACUACGU